rnacentral:rRNA from 1 species
AUUGAACGCUGGCGGCAGGCCUAACACAUGCAAGUCGAACGCGUGGCGGACGGGUGAGUAAUGUCUGGGAAACUGCCCGAUGGAGGGGGAUAACUACUGGAAACGGUAGCUAAUACCGCAUACCAUCGGAUGUGCCCAGAUGGGAUUAGGUCGUAGGUGGGGUAACGGCUCACCUAGGCGACGAGCCCUAGCUGGUCUGAGAGGAUGACCAGCCACCCUGGAACUGGGCCAAGGUCCAGCCUCCUACGGGAGGCCGCAGGGGGGAAUUUUGCACAAUGGGCGCAAGCCUGAUGCAGCCAUGCCGCGUGUAUGAAGAAGGCCUUCGGGUUGUAAAGUACUUUCAGCGAGGAAGCGUUACUCGCAGAAGAAGCACCGGCUAACUCCGUGCCAGCAGCCGCGGUAAUUC